GACGAACGCUGGCGGCGUGCCUAAUUCAUGCAAGUAGAACGCUGAAGAGAGGAGCUUGCUCUUCUUGGAUGAGUUGCGAACGGGUGAGUAACGCGUAGGUAACCUGCCUUGUAGCGGGGGAUAACUAUUGGAAACGAUAGCUAAUACCGCAUAACAAUGGAUGACACAUGUCAUUUAUUUGAAAGGGGCAAUUGCUCCACUACAAGAUGGACCUGCGUUGUAUUAGCUAGUAGGUGAGGUAACGGCUCACCUAGGCGACGAUACAUAGCCGACCUGAGAGGGUGAUCGGCCACACUGGGACUGAGACACGGCCCAGACUCCUACGGGAGGCAGCAGUAGGGAAUCUUCGGCAAUGGGGGCAACCCUGACCGAGCAACGCCGCGUGAGUGAAGAAGGUUUUCGGAUCGUAAAGCUCUGUUGUAAGUCAAGAACGAGUGUGAGAGUGGAAAGUUCACACUGUGACGGUAGCUUACCAGAAAGGGACGGCUAACUACGUGCCAGCAGCCGCGGUAAUACGUAGGUCCCGAGCGUUGUCCGGAUUUAUUGGGCGUAAAGCGAGCGCAGGCGGUUUGAUAAGUCUGAAGUUAAAGGCUGUGGCUCAACCAUAGUUCGCUUUGGAAACUGUCAAACUUGAGUGCAGAAGGGGAGAGUGGAAUUCCAUGUGUAGCGGUGAAAUGCGUAGAUAUAUGGAGGAACACCGGUGGCGAAAGCGGCUCUCUGGUCUGUAACUGACGCUGAGGCUCGAAAGCGUGGGGAGCGAACAGGAUUAGAUACCCUGGUAGUCCACGCCGUAAACGAUGAGUGCUAGGUGUUGGAUCCUUUCCGGGAUUCAGUGCCGCAGCUAACGCAUUAAGCACUCCGCCUGGGGAGUACGACCGCAAGGUUGAAACUCAAAGGAAUUGACGGGGGCCCGCACAAGCGGUGGAGCAUGUGGUUUAAUUCGAAGCAACGCGAAGAACCUUACCAGGUCUUGACAUCCCGAUGCUAUUUCUAGAGAUAGAAAGUUACUUCGGUACAUCGGUGACAGGUGGUGCAUGGUUGUCGUCAGCUCGUGUCGUGAGAUGUUGGGUUAAGUCCCGCAACGAGCGCAACCCCUAUUGUUAGUUGCCAUCAUUCAGUUGGGCACUCUAGCGAGACUGCCGGUAAUAAACCGGAGGAAGGUGGGGAUGACGUCAAAUCAUCAUGCCCCUUAUGACCUGGGCUACACACGUGCUACAAUGGUUGGUACAACGAGUUGCGAGUCGGUGACGGCAAGCUAAUCUCUUAAAGCCAAUCUCAGUUCGGAUUGUAGGCUGCAACUCGCCUACAUGAAGUCGGAAUCGCUAGUAAUCGCGGAUCAGCACGCCGCGGUGAAUACGUUCCCGGGCCU
rnacentral:rRNA from 1 species